AACUGUGUGGUGAGGGUGCCAGGAGCCUAAUCAUCCAGCCAAAGGCACACACCACAGCCAGAGAGUCUCUUGUCUAAGGGUAACCUGAUGCCUGGAGCAGUCUGAAAGGGGAUUCUCAGCACCAUCCUGGAGUAGAGUUUGGCAACUGGUCGUGCUGUGUGAUCACCUGCCUCCCACAGUGAAGACGGAGUAAUGGACCCCUGCAUCACAGCCAGGAACAGCGCCACAGGUUAGGACCCAGUAGAAGAUGUUGUUGGAGGAAGUCGCAGAGGGCCCCUGUUUACCGCUGAUCUGUCCUGGCCACUGCCCUGCCCGAGUCGACGGAGAUAAGACCGGAUCCUCUGGAGAGGAAAGAGCCGAGUGGGGGUCGUGACAGAAGCAGCAGCCCAGCAGGAGGAUUCCCACAGCUGUCUCCCUAAGACGUCACAGGACCCAGCACCGAGCUGGGAGAGAGUUUCACAGAAGACAAGCCUCUCUACAGAAGUCAUGUAGACGUACAAUACAUGUGAAUAAGAUUGACAGGAAUGCUCUGGGAGAGAAUAAGGCGUUUUUAAACCGAGGCAAAAGAAUGACACUCUAAUGAAUUAUCUUUAUUGUAAAAGCUAUAUAAAGAAAAUAAGAAAGAAGGGAAAUGAGAGUAACUGCUGCACACGUAUUAUAGAAAUGAUAAAUAUACACGGAUACCAAGGUGACAAUCCCGGCGCCCCGUUGGAUGGCUCCAGAUGACAAUGCUGCCGGUCAGGUGACAGGAAGGGCGGACCGGAAGCGCAGAGUCCGGAAACCGGCUGGAGGUGCGCUGAUACAGUACCAGGACAGCAGAGACCCUGAAGAAACUCACAGAGGCUGAGGAGUAGAUGAGGUAUAGUUAGUGGAGGUGCCUCAACCUUCUGAGUGUCGAGAGCAGGACCAGCCUAGUGGAUGUUGGCAUCCUCCAUCUUGGGACAGGUAAGCGCAUUCAUUGUCUUACCUGACUAUGGUAAAUUUUGUAUCCAAAGGGAUUUAAUCUCAGCCAGUAAUCUGGCAGCUGUUCAAAAUGGUGCUGACCAUGAUCAAAUUAGAGAGCAGAGUGUCCAAUGGCAGAGAAUGGGAAAGAAGAGCUAAAGAGAAAGAAGUUCCACAGGCCAGAAGAGAAGAAAAGCUGAAAAGAAAAAAGUGGCAAAUUCAAAAUAAUAUAAAAU